GCACUAGCGCGGUGGUCCCACCUGACCCCAUGCCGAACUCAGAAGUGAAACGCCGUAGCGCCGAUGGUAGUGUGGGGUCUCCCCAUGCGAGAGUAGGGA
rnacentral:rRNA from 1 species